UUUCCGUAGGUGAACCUGCGGAAGGAUCAUUAAUAAAUGGUCUACGUUUUUUAAGUAGACGCUUAAUAAUCCUACCUUGUGAAUUUGUUGUUUUGAAAUAAUUUUUUUUUAAAUUAUUGAUUGUCUUUCCUGUUGAAUUGGUUGUCUUAAUGCAAAUGAUUCGCAGGGAGUGUCAGUAUUUUUAAAAAGACCUUUUUUAAAUUAAACUUUUUGUAUUCAUUUGUCUAAAAUUAUUUUUAUAAUAUAAAAACAACUUUUGACAAUGGAUCUCUUGGUUCUCGCAACGAUGAAGAACGCAGCAAAAUGCGAUAAGUAGUGUGAAUUGCAGAAUACGUGAAUCAUCGAAUCUUCGAACGCAUAUUGCACUUUUUAGUUUACUAAAAAAGUAUGUCUGUUUGAGUAUCAGUAAAAUAUUCUCAUAAAAACUUUUUGUUUUUAUGGUUAUGAGUGUUUUACAACGAUACAAGUUGUUUCACUUUAAAUUUUUUUAAAUUUGAAUUUUUCUAAUUUUAAAAUAAAAUUGGAUAAAAUUUUCCCGUAAAAAAGGAAUAACCUAAAACAAUUUAAUUUUUGAUUAGAAAUCUCAAUUAUAAAGGAAAUUUAACUAAAUAACUUGAUCUCAAAUCAGAUAAGAGUACCGUGAACUUAAGCAUAUCAAUAACGGAGGAAAAGAAACUAACAAGGAUUCCUUAGUAACGGCGAGUGAAGCGGGAAGAGCUCAAUUUGAAAUCUUCAAGGUUUUACCUUGACGAAUUGUAGUUUAAAGAAGUGUCUUCUGUUGAAGUUUUGGUAAAGUUCUUUGAAUAGGACAUCAUAGAGGUGAGAAUCCGUAUUUGACAUUAUUUUCAGCUGUGUGAUACACUUUCAAAGAGUCGAUUGUUUGGGAAUGCAGUCCAAAAUGGGUGGUAAAUUUCAUCUAAAGCUAAAUAUUGGCGAGAGACCGAUAGCGAACAAGUACCGUGAGGAAAGAUGAAAGAACUUUGAAAAGAGAGUUAAACAGUACGUGAAAUUGUCAAAAGGAAGCGUUUGACACCAGUGUUGUUUCUCGAAAAUCAAUUAAAAAAAGUUGGAUUUUGUGUUGUAUGACUUACAGCUUGCUUCACUCUUUUCUUGCUUUUUUUAAUGCACCUUUCGUUUACAAGUCAACAUCAGUUUCUUUGUUGUAAAAGGUCAUUGGAAGGUGGCUUUCUCUUCGGAGAAAGUGUUAUAGCCUUUGAUCUCUGCAAUCGGAGAGACUGAGGUCUGCAGCGUAGAUCUUCGGGUUAGAUACAUUUGUGCUAAGCUACAGUUUUCAUAGACAAUUGUUGACUAUGUUUAGUCUUGUAACUUACCCGCUUAUGCUAUUU
rnacentral:misc_RNA from 1 species